rnacentral:rRNA from 1 species
AGAGUUUGAUCCUGGCUCAGAUUGAACGCUGGCGGUAUGCUUUAACACAUGCAAGUCGAACGGAAACGACAAGAGCUUGCUCUUGGGCGUCGAGUGGCGGACGGGUGAGUAACGCGUAGGAAUCUGCCUGAUAGUGGGGGAUAGCCCAGAGAAAUCUGGAUUAAUACCGCAUAAUAUCUAUGGAUUAAAGUGGAGGAUCUUCGGACUUCACGCUAUCAGAUGAGCCUGCGUAAGAUUAGUUUGUUGGUGAGGUAAAGGCUCACCAAGGCGACGAUCUUUAGCUGGUCUGAGAGGAUGAUCAGCCACACUGGGACUGAGACACGGCCCAGACUCCUACGGGAGGCAGCAGUGGGGAAUAUUGGACAAUGGGGGCAACCCUGAUCCAGCAAUACCGCGUGUGUGAAGAAGGCCUGAGGGUUGUAAAGCACUUUCAAUUGUGAAGAAAAGCUAGUAGUUAAUACUUAUUAGCCUUGACGUUAACUUUAGAAGAAGCACCGCUAACU